AACUUAAAAUUAAAUGUUACUAAUUUGUACUUUGGUUAUUUCAGAAUUAAAGUAGAAAAUUAGUCACUAUAAGAAGUUAGGUUGCAAACACGUUUUACAGUCAUUCAAAGUCUGAAAGUAAUCUGAUCUAUGGAUGUUGAUGAUGUCCUGACACUAAGGUGUGCUAAUUUAAUAUUUAGAUUUAAUUGGUAGGUAGGACGGGUGUGGUGGAAAAUGUUCUAGGUUUUGCAGUUUGACAAGAAAAUAAGUUUCAAAAUAGGGCUGUCAUGCAAGAGAACUAGAACAUAUUUAGAUAAGCAAGCCCAAAGGAGGAAGAACCUAUUACCUGUGGUGAAUGCAGUUGACCAGAAUCGUCUGCUCGUGGAGUCUCGAACACGAAGUUGGCGCCGGGCAGAACUAGCUGGAGUUAUGGACCUGCAUCUACAGCACAAAGCUUCCUGGGCUGUUGAAAUGGGCUGAAGAACACCCUGGCUUGGACCUGAAACAGAGCCUGCGGCCAAAGGCCUUGGGCCGCGCUCAAGGAGACGCGCACGGCCUGGACUAAAAUGGGCUUUGGCCUGCAGUGGAGAGAAACGUUGGCGGUCUGUGGAGUGUGAUCGGGCCAGUUGAGCUCGGGUGAACUCUGUUGGACUUGAACGGGAUGAGGGAGGGGUGCUGUG
rnacentral:lncRNA from 1 species